ACGUGCCAGCAGCCGCGGUAAUACGUAGGUGGCAGCGUUGUCGGGAAUUAUUGGGCGUAAAGCGCGCGCAGGCGGUUUCUUAAGUCUGAUGUGAAAGCCCCCGGCUCAACCGGGGAGGGUCAUUGGAAACUGGGAAACUUGAGUGCAGAAGAGGAGAGUGGAAUUCCACGUGUAGCGGUGAAAUGCGUAGAGAUGUGGAGGAACACCAGUGGCGAAGGCGACUCUCUGGUCUGUAACUGACGCUGAGGCGCGAAAGCGUGGGGAGCGAACAGGAUUAGAUACCCUGGUAGUCCACGCCGUAAACGAUGAGUGCUAAGUGUUAGAGGGUUUCCGCCCUUUAGUGCUGCAGCUAACGCAUUAAGCACUCCGCCUGGGGAGUACGGUCGCAAGACUGAAACUCAAAGGAAUUGACGGGGGCCCGCACAAGCGGUGGAGCAUGUGGUUUAAUUCGAAGCAACGCGAAGAACCUUACCAGGUCUUGACAUCCUUUGCCACUUCUAGAGAUAGAAGGUUCCCCUUCGGGGGACAAAGUGACAGGUGGUGCAUGGUUGUCGUCAGCUCGUGUCGUGAGAUGUUGGGUUAAGUCCCGCAACGAGCGCAACCCUUGAUCUUAGUUGCCAGCAUUCAGUUGGGCACUCUAAGGUGACUGCCGGUGACAAACCGGAGGAAGGUGGGGAUGACGUCAAAUCAUCAUGCCCCUUAUGACCUGGGCUACACACGUGCUACAAUGGAUGGUACAAAGGGCUGCGAGACCGCGAGGUUUAGCCAAUCCCAUAAAACCAUUCUCAGUUCGGAUUGCAGGCUGCAACUCGCCUGCAUGAAGCUGGAAUCGCUAGUAAUCGCGGAUCAGCAUGCCGCGGUGAAUACGUUCCCGGGCCUUGUACACACCGCCCGUCACACCACGAGAGUUUGCAACACCCGAAGUCGGUGGGGAACCGCAAGGAGCCAGCCGCCAGUGUCU
rnacentral:rRNA from 1 species